rnacentral:lncRNA from 1 species
AUGUGGCCAGGGCUAGAACAUUCCAAUCUGUUACCAUGGAAACCAAAAAUGUAUACAAGCUGGGAACAAAGGCAGGUCCACACCCACUUCCCUGAUGCAAGUCGGGAUGAGAGAGUAAACUGUUCAACAAUUGGCUUAAAUGUUUCUGGAAAGAAUUAUAAAUUAUUCUGAUGAAGGAAAAAAUGAUAAGGCAAGAUCCAUGGCAGAUCUGGACUUCACAACAGUGAGUUUAUCAUGACAGCCAGAGGUUUCUGCAUAAUAUUUCACUCUAACAUUGCUAACUCUCAC